rnacentral:rRNA from 1 species
CCUACGGGCGGCAGCAGUGGGGAAUAUUGGACAAUGGGGGGAACCCUGAUCUAGCCAUGCCGCGUGUGUGAAGAAGGCCCUCGGGUUGUAAAGCACUUUCAGUGAGGAAGAACGCCUGGUGGUUAAUACCCAUCAGGAAAGACAUCACUCACAGAAGAAGCACCGGCUAACUCCGUGCCAGCAGCCGCGGUAAUACGGAGGGUGCGAGCGUUAAUCGGAAUUACUGGGCGUAAAGCGCGCGUAGGUGGCUUGAUAAGCCGGUUGUGAAAGCCCCGGGCUCAACCUGGGAACGGCAUCCGGAACUGUCAAGCUAGAGUGCAGGAGAGGAAGGUAGAAUUCCCGGUGUAGCGGUGAAAUGCGUAGAGAUCGGGAGGAAUACCAGUGGCGAAGGCGGCCUUCUGGACUGACACUGACACUGAGGUGCGAAAGCGUGGGUAGCAAACAGGAUUAGAUACCCCAGUAGUC